CUCCGACGCAAGCAGAUUUUUGCACCAACAGGAUUAACACUAGAGGAAGGAUGUGUCUUCGCAGUACCCUUGUUCUUAAAGAAGCGCUCAACGGGACCGCCUCCGAUCAUCUUUUCCGACGUCCUCUCCUCCUUCUCCCACUAGAUCUUCGCCCGAUGCCUUCCCACGAAGCAUCCACAUGGCAACCCACGACCUCUGCGGCCAGAUCUCAGGCUCCGGCCUCGCCUCCAGUUUCUCAAGCCCCACAUCCUCCGACAACGGCCGCCAGUAUGGAGCGGUCGGACAAUCAUCCUCCGAUGGAUUUCGCCAACGCCA
rnacentral:lncRNA from 1 species